CACAUCGCAGUCUAACGCGCUUCGGGUGAGCGGCGGACGGGUUAUGACGCGUGGGAACGUGCCCUUCUCUACGGAAUAGCCUCUGGAAACGGAGAGUAAUACCGUAUACGCCCUUUGGGGGAAAGAUUUAUCGGAGAAGGAUCGGCCCGCGUUAGAUUAGGUAGUUGGUGGGGUAACGGCCUACCAAGCCUACGAUCUAUAGCUGGUUUUAGAGGAUGAUCAGCAACACUGGGACUGAGACACGGCCCAGACUCCUACGGGAGGCAGCAGUGGGGAAUCUUAGACAAUGGGGGCAACCCUGAUCUAGCCAUGCCGCGUGAGUGAUGAAGGCCUUAGGGUCGUAAAGCUCUUUCGCCUGUGAUGAUAAUGACAGUAGCAGGUAAAGAAACCCCGGCUAACUCCGUGCCAGCAGCCGCGGUAAUACGGAGGGGGUUAGCGUUGUUCGGAAUUACUGGGCGUAAAGCGCACGUAGGCGGAUUAGAAAGUUAGAGGUGAAAUCCCGGGGCUCAACCCCGGAACUGCCUUUAAAACUACUAGUCUAGAGUUCGAGAGAGGUGAGUGGAAUUCCGAGUGUAGAGGUGAAAUUCGUAGAUAUUCCGGAGGACCCCAGUGGCGAAGGGGGUCAUGGGUCAAACUGACGCAGAAGGUCGAAGUGUGGGACCAACAGGAUUAUUCCCGG
rnacentral:rRNA from 1 species